rnacentral:rRNA from 1 species
GAUGAACGCUAGCGGCAGGCCUAAUACAUGCAAGUCGGACGGGCAGCUGGAGCUUGCUUCCGAUGAGCGUGGCGCACGGGUGCGUGACACGCAUGUAGCCUACCUUUAUCAGGGGGAUAGCCUCCCUCAAGAGAGAGUAACCACUCACAAAAAAAAAGCACAGCCUUGUGGAUUGAUAAAAAAUUUAGGGGUUACUGAUGGGCAUGCGUAACAUUAGCUGGAUGGCGGGGGAACGGCAGACCAUGGCGACGAUGUGUAGGGGAUCUGAGAGGAUGGCCCCCCACACUGGUACCGCGACACGGACCAGACUCCGACGGGGGGCAGCAGUAACGUAUACUGGUCGAUGGGCGCUAGCCUGACCCAGCCAUGCCGCGUGCAGGAAGCCGGCGCUCCGGGUUGUCAGCUGCUUUUAUACGGGAAUAGUCCCAGAUACGUGUAUCUGGCUGACUGUACUGUAAGAAUAAGGAUCGGCUAACUCCGUG